GGCGAGCUCUCUGGGUUCCCAAGCUUACAACACCCAGAACUGGGAGGGGGUGGACUUUCCUGUUCUGUGCCAGGAAUGUCUUGCAGAAAUCUAUAUAUAUUAAAUAGCCAAAGAAAAAAGCAGGAAGGAACGCAAAAUUUGUGCCAGGCCAUUCAGUGUUUUGCUUGUGCCCUGGGGUCCACAUGCAUUUCAAGAAGACAGAAGUGUGCCAACCCUGCAGUAAAUUGAAGCAUGUCUGUUAGGCCUAAAUCUUAAGACCUAAAGCAUGGUCUGCCCAUCCAGGUUAAUAAUGCAGAACUGUCUUCUGAAGGUGACCUGCCAAAGUCUGAUGUCAAAAAAAGAGUACUGCAUGUAGAAUAUGAGAGACAGGGAUUUCUAGCUCUGAUGGAACGUGGCCAGUUUGCCUGCUGGGGAAAAAGCCACACUGACCAGAGACAUGCUACUCAGUCCAGCUUGGACCACACCCUCCUACCAAAGGAGUAAGCCCCACAUUUGCUCCUCCUGGGUGAAAGGAGAGUAUAAGAGAGGAGAGGAACAUCCAUGCAGACAUGAGAAGCCUAUAGAUCCAGAUGAUCCCCUUGCCAAUCAGAAUAUUAUGGAAUCAAUGAUCCAGAAACAGAUAAGCAUCUAAAGUGGGCUUCAAUCAUGCCCCAUCUGGACCCAUCAGAGGACAAGGUUAUCCUCCCCAUAUGUUGGUAGUCUGGAUAAUACCCUUUCUGAGACAGAUCUAAGACAUCAUCACUACCAGUUUGGAGAGAUGCAGAUUGAUUACUGUUGUUCAGAGAGAGCAGUGUGCUUUCAUCCAGGUUUCCACAGGGCAGGCUGCAGAAGUGGCUGCUGAGAAGUCCUUUGAUAAGUUGAUUGUCAAUGGCUGUAGACUCAACAUAAAAUGGGGAAGAUCCCAAGCAUCCAGAGGAAAAGAAAAAGAGAAGAACAGAUCACAGACUCUGGGAUCCAGCUACAGCCUAUUCCAGCACUGCCAUGAGCUCUUCCUCCUCCUACAGCAGCAGAAGAUGCAUGUGCCAGCUACUUCAACCUGCCCCAACAUGGUCCUCCAGCUGUGGUGAACAUUGCCCAGCCACCAGCCCCUAGUCUUCCACACCCCCAACCCCAGGAUUUAGGCCACACAUAUUCACCUCAAUGGGACCACCCUUUCCUUUCAUGACAACUCCAGGAUUAAUCCACUAUCUUUCUCAUGACCCUCAGAGGAUGGGAGCUCAUGCCAGAAAACAUAGGAAAC
rnacentral:lncRNA from 1 species